rnacentral:rRNA from 1 species
CACUAUGCUUAGCCCUAAACAUUGAUUACAUAUUACACCAAACAUCCGCCCGGGUAUUACGAACAUCAGUUUAAAACCCCAAGGACUUGGCGGUGCUUAACAUCCACCUAGAGGAGCCUGUUCUAGAACCGAUAAUCCCCGUUCAACCUCACCCUCCCUUGUUCCUUCCCGCCUGUAUACCUCCGUCGUCAGCUUACCCUGUGAAGGUCCAAUAGUAAGCAAGAUUGGCACAUCCCCUAAUACGUCAGGUCAAGGUGCAGCGCAUGAGAGGGGAAGAAAUGGGCUACAUUCGCUAAAAUAGCGAACACGAAUGAUGCAUUGAAACAUGCAACUGAAGGAGGAUUUAGCAGUAAGAAGGAAGUAGAGUGUCCUACUGAAACCGGCUCUAAAGCGCGCACACACCGCCCGUCACCCUCCCCUAAAACCAUAAAUCCCCUAAUUAAAACAAUAAAUCCUACAAAGGAGAGGAAAGUCGUAA